rnacentral:tRNA from 2 species
AGUCCAUCGAGUGUAGCGGUCAAGCAUAUCGCCCUUUGGAGGCGGUGACGGCAGUUCGAAUCUGCCCCGGGCUA